GGAAAAUACUGGUUUGGAAAAACGGAAAGGUGGGGGCCGACAUGUGCGAGCAAGCAGCAGCAAAGUUUUCUCUCUACGCACCAGAAACAUUGUGAAAGCAACGCUUGCCUGUCAAGACUUGAACACAGUACAGCAAUGCUUUGCUGCCUGCUUGCAUUCGGCCUUGCCUGAGGAACUGGACUGUCGAUUCAACUGACUCUGAAGUCUGGAGUCUAAACUAUUGACCUGCUUCAGUGUCUCUCACUCCACACAUGGGCCACAUUGGAAAUUGGUGACAGUAAGUCUCGACCAUACAAAGAUGGACACAGCAGAGAGAGCAGCUGACCUUGGCCAUAAUAUUUAUUGGUCAGGUAGGAGACCAGCUACAGUCAAACAAGUACGGCGCUUCAUGGGGUUUGCAAGCUUUUAUCGCCGCUUCAUCCAGAAUUUUGGCUCUGUCCCCGCUCCUAUAAAUGCAUUCACCAAGACCUUGGCAGGACAGCAUUGGACGGAUGGUACCAACCAAACAUUUUUGGAGCAAAAGCGACAUUUCAUCACUGCCCCAUUGCUGCAACAUCCAGACCCAUCAUAACCAUUCAUUGUUGAGGUGUAUGCAUCUGAUGUAGGCAUUGGAGCUGUCCUCUCUCAACGCUCAUCUACAGAUAGCCGGCUUCACCCUUGUGCCUUGCUUUCCCAUUGCUUGACUCCAGCUGAGAGGAAUUACGAUGUUGGUAACUGGGAACUUCCAACUGUCAAGGAGUCCUGGGAGGAAUGGCGACAGAGCAUCCUUCUUUGUCUGGACAGAUCACAAGAACCUCUCCUACAUUCAAUAUGUAAAGAAACUCAACUCUUUUCAAGUCUGGUGGGCUCUCUUCUUCACACGGUUCAAUUUCAUCCUCACCCAUUGUUCCAGAAGCAAGAAUACUAAGGCCAAUUCUCUCUCGCUUCAGUUCAAUGGAUCUGAGAACAAUGCCAAUCGAGAGCCCAUUCUUCCUCGCUCAUGCAUUGCUGCUCCGGUAAUCUGGCGAAUAGAGGCAGAGAUGAGCACCCACCAACAGUCAGACCCAGGUCCCGGUAAGGCACCUUCCAACCGGCUGUUCGUCCCUGCUCCCUGCUGUGGUGCAUUCCACAGUGUUGGAAUGGGCUCACUCCUCCCAUCUGGCCAGACAUCUGGGAAUUCAAUGAGACAAUUUUGGUGUCCAUCUGUGUCCCAAGAUGUCCACGACUUUGUAUUGGUCUGUCCCACCUGCAUUCAGAACAAGACAUCACACCAGCAUCCUGCGGGUCUGUUACGUCCACUGCCUGUGUCUCACCACCCCUGGUCCCAUCUCAGUCGUCUUCACCACUGGGCUGCCCCAUCUAAUGGAAACACCACUAUUUUGGUCAUUGUGGAUCGAUUUUCCAAUGCUUUCCACUUCAUUGCCCUCCCCAAGCUCCCAUCGGCUUGUGAGAUUGCCACACUCAUGUUUCAACAUUUGUUCAGGCUUCAUGGCUUUCCUCAACACAGUGACUGAUCAUGGACCACAGUUCACUUCCCACUUUUGGAAGGGUUUCUAUUCUCUUGUAGGAGCCUCUCACCUGGUUUACAACCCCAAUCCAAUGGCCAGACUGAGAGAGAACCAGCAGCUGGAGACAGCCCUGUGCUGCCUUGCCUCUUCCAGCCCAUCGUCCUGGAGUUCCCAAUUGGUUUGGACAGAGAUCGCCCACAAUAACCUCCAGUCAUCCUUUAACGGUACGUCACAGUCGUCCUCCAACAAUAUGUCUUCCUUUGAAAGCCAGAAGGGAUGCCAACCCCCGCUCUUGACUGAUCGCAAGAUUGAAGUAGGAGUUCCUGCUGCUGAACAGCCGAUCCAACGCUCCAAACACACCUGGAAAUGAGGCAGAGCUUCCCUGCUGUGCGCCCAGAAAUAACAUUCCUGACAGACUGAUCAGCUCCGUCAACAGGUAAGGCCAUUCAAACCAGGACAGGAGGUCUGCUUGGUAUCAAGGGAUCUCCCCCUGAAAGUCAAGAGCUGCAAAUUGGAACUGGGCUGCGUGGGACCGUUUGUAUUGUAAAAGGCUGUCAACAAGGUGGCAUAUAGCUUGCAUCUACCAGCAUCACUGAAGAUCCUCCCAGUAUUUUAUGUUUCCCAGCUGAAGCCAGUUAUUACCUCUCCCCUGGCCCCAGUCAACCCACCUCCCCCUCCUCCCCGCCUGGUAGAUUGUUCCUUGGUCCAUACACUGUGGCACCUCCUGCCAUCUCGCCGGGUAUGUGGUAAGGUCCGGUACCUUGUGGACUGGGAAGGGUAUGGUCCAGUAAAAUGUACUUGGAUCCCAGCAGAGGACAUUUUGGACAAGUCCCUCAUCCAGGAUUUCCAGUGGACACAGGGCUGUGGCACUCCAGGGGAUGCGCCUAGAGAGGGGCCCCUGUCACACACAUAAUUUGGCAGCGCAGCAGGUACAGCAGUUGUGCUUGUGAAUAUGCAUGUGUCAGCUAAUUAUUAUUUAAUUAUGGUAAUAUUUAACUUCAUUUUUUUCAUUGUAGUUCUUGUUGAGACUUCAGCACAGUCCUGUAACACUUUACUGCCUGUUUGAGUUCAGCCUUGCCUGAGAAAUUGGACUGUCUAGUCAACUGACUGAAAACAAACGGUAUUAGUUUUGUAUGUAGUUAUUCCUUUCAGCCGCAGUCAAGGCUUUAUUUUCUAUUUGAGAGUUUUAGUUGGCAGCUCUGGUUGGCCUAGCAUUUAUUGUUUGCUUUUCCCUUUUAACUCCAUUCACAUUAAAGUCUGAACUAUCAAUCCGCUUCAGUGUCUCUCGCUCUGCACUUGGGCCAUAUCUGAAUUUGGGGAAAAGUACACUGAUGGGGCCUAACACUUUGGGAGGAUUCACCCUCUUAUUUUGACAUUGGGCUCUGAGAUAGAAGUCAAAGAGUCACCAGAUUAUGUGGGGAUUUCCAUAUGUCUCUCUGUCAUACUGUGCUUUAAAGCAUCUAGCAUAUGUCUCCCGUACUUGAGUAAUAUAAUUUUUGCAUGAGGGAAUUGAAUGUUUCUUAAAAGUGAAAGGAUGCUUGAGAUGUACAGUGAAUAUAAUAUAGUCCAUCUGUUCUGAGUAUUCCUGCUUUGAGGUAGAACUUUUCGUGCACAUUGCAAUAUGAGCUUAAACAUGGCAUAUUACUGUUGACAGUAUGAAUUACCGUUCCUAAUUCUCACACGUCAAAACUUUGUAAUUGCCAAUUAUAGCCAUCAAGUAUGCUAGUCCAUUUACUUAUUUUUUUUAAGUGCUGUUUCUCUCUGUAAAUUUUAUCUCUAUAACAUUUGUUUGUUCACUUUUCCUAAGAUUAAUUCCAACUCACAAUGCCUCAGGGAAUUAAUGAAUGCAAAAUCUCAAACCUGAUUACCAGUGUUACGCUUAACCAUCAAAUUACUUUGUAAAUACGUGAAACUAUUUUAAGUGAAGCCUGACUGAUUGCUCCUUCCAUAACUAAAUUUGAACAGGUAUUUCUCAAUCAAUUCAUAAUUUUGAAUGAAAAUAAACACAAUGUUCCAAAUAAUUAUUACUGGACACUUCUUUGAAGAAUGCAAAUACUUGGGGAUAUGUUUUACUUGUCCCACAAUGGAGUAAAGCAAGAAUAGACUAUUUGGAAUUGCUAUUAGAUAUCGGACUAGAACUGGUCAAUCCAGCUCUAAGUCUGCUCCUCUAUUUGAUUGUGGUUGAUUUAUUAUUCCCUCUCAACCUCAUUCUUCAGUGUUCUCCCCAGAAACUUUGACACCCUUACCAAUCAAAAAACCUAUGAAGCUGUCUGUAGCAAUGAAUUCUACAGAUUCACCACCCCAAGCUGAAAAUAUUUCUUCUAAUUUUGGUUUGAAAUGAACAUCCUUCUAUUACAUUAUUUAUUAUUUAUAGGCUUUAUUUGUCACAUGUACAUCAAAACUGAUAUCCUAUUCUGAAGCUGUGCCCUCUGGUUCGAGACACUCCCACCACCAGAAACACCCACUAUACAUCCUCUCUAUCCUGGCCUUUCGUUAUUCAGUAGGUAUUGUUUGUCAUGUCAGAUAUUUAAUGGAAAGGCUUCCCUGUGGAGUGGCAUUAACCCAUUAUUCUUUCUAAUUUUCAUAUGCAAUCUGGAUUCAAAAAUGCAGAAUAAGAUAGUAAAAUUAAUUGGUAAUACUCAAUUUGAUUUAUAAAAACAGUCCAUAUAAAGUCUCAGAGAAGAAUUGCAACUGGGUUGAAUUCUUACAGAUAAAGUAUCUUGAAGAAUUUAUGAUGGUAAGCCUUUAAAAAGGAAAUCAAAAGGGCUAUUUUAUUUCAAGAGCUGUAAAAAUGAGUCAGUACACUUUUACCUCAAAGCCCUAUUGCAUUGUGUUAACUAGAAAUAAAAAAAAGCACAACUUUCAUGUGGUGAUUUUUAUGCCUGAUUUCAAUUUUCAUUGAAUCAUGAAUUAGAAACAUUCAUUUCACAGCUGCUCAUUUGGUCCAUUGGUCUGUGCUAAUAGUAAAGCAGCAACCUUCUAGCACUAGGAUAAUGGUUUUAUGACUGGUGGCUCUUGCAGUAUGAAUUCAAGUGCUGCUUCAACGUGUUUCUGACUGCUUCAGUGUUUCAGCUUUCCUAUUCAAGCACACUGUUCUCUACCACCCUCUGCAUUAAAAAGAUAGUCCACAUCUCCCUUCUAAUUUUUCUACCAAUUACUUUAGAUCCAUCACAAUUUUGUCUCAAUUACAUCUCUCUGUAUCUUUCGAUAGG